CCUACGGGCGGCAGCAGUAGGGAAUCUUCCACAAUGGGCGAAAGCCUGAUGGAGCAACGCCGCGUGGGUGAAGAAGGUCUUCGGAUCGUAAAACCCUGUUGUUAGAGAAGAAAGUGCGUGAGAGUAACUGUUCACGUUUCGACGGUAUCUAACCAGAAAGCCACGGCUAACUACGUGCCAGCAGCCGCGGUAAUACGUAGGUGGCAAGCGUUAUCCGGAUUUAUUGGGCGUAAAGGGAACGCAGGCGGUCUUUUAAGUCUGAUGUGAAAGCCUUCGGCUUAACCGGAGUAGUGCAUUGGAAACUGGGAGACGUGAGUGCAGAAGAGGAGAGUGGAACUCAAUGUGUAGCGGUGAAAUGCGGAGAUAUAUGGAAGAACACCAGUGGCGAAAGCGGCUCUCUGGUCUGUAACUGACGCUGAGGUUCGAAAGCGUGGGUAGCAAACAGGAUUAGAUACCCUUGUAGUC
rnacentral:rRNA from 1 species